CACAGAACUGAGGAUUGAUGAGGGGCUCCUACUCCAUCAACAAAAGGGCUUCUGUGGGCCCAAGCCCACCAACACUCAGCAACAGGGGCAUAAUCCACUUUCCUCAAUAUGAACAUGAAGCAGCUAGCCAGGUCAGAGUUCUGGAACUUUCAGGAGAGCCUGCUGCCUGCCCAGAAU